rnacentral:rRNA from 1 species
UACAGAGGUCUCAAGCGUUGUUCGGAUUCAUUGGGCGUAAAGGGUGCGUAGGCGGCGCGGUAAGUCGGGUGUGAAAUCUCGGGGCUUAACUCCGAAAUGGCAUUGGAAACUACCCAACUAGAGGGUCGGAGGGGGGACUGGAAUUCUUGGUGUAGCAGUGAAAUGCGUAGAUAUCAAGAGGAACACCAGUGGCGAAGGCGAGUCCCUGGACGACUCCUGACACUGAGGCACGAAAGCUAGGGGAGCAAACAGG